UGGUAGCCAAAAUGUGAUGAAAAGGCAAUGACAUGUGCAUUUGAACCAACAUGCUUUAAAAUUUUUAAAGGACCAGCACUACAAGCUUGCAAUAUGACAUAAUCCCCAAUAUUAAAUUCAAAAUAUCGUUUAUGCGAAUCAGCUUGAAGUUUAUAUAAUGCAUUACUUACAUCAUGUUGUUUAUUGAUCUCAAUAUGCAAGUCAUGAAGAUGAUAUACAAAUGCUUCAGCUGACAACGACACACUAGCAU
rnacentral:lncRNA from 1 species